rnacentral:rRNA from 1 species
CCUACGGGAGGCAGCAGUGGGGAAUAUUGGACAAUGGGCGAAAGCCUGAUCCAGCAAUUCCGCGUGUGUGAAGAAGGCCUUCGGGUUGUAAAGCACUUUAGUUGGGGAAGAAACAGCUUGGCCACACCAAGCCUUGACGGUACCCAAAGAAUAAGCACCGGCUAACUCUGUGCCAGCAGCCGCGGUAAUACAGAGGGUGCAAGCGUUAAUCGGAUUUACUGGGCGUAAAGGGUGCGUAGGUGGUUUUGUAAGUCGGAUGUGAAAGCCUGGGGCUCAACCUCAGAAUUGCACUCGAUACUGCAAGACUAGAGUUCGGUAGAGGGCGGCGGAAUUCCCGGUGUAGCGGUGAAAUGCGUAGAUAUCGGGAGGAACAUCAAUGGCGAAGGCAGCCGCCUGGGCCUGAACUGACACUGAGGCACGAAAGCGUGGGUAGCAAACAGGAUUAGAUACCCUGGUAGUCCACGCUGUAAACGAUGAGAACUUGACGUUGGUUCGUUUUACGAAUCGGUGUCGCAGCUAACGCGAUAAGUUCUCCGCCUGGGGAGUACGGCCGCAAGGUUGAAACUUAAAGGAAUUGACGG